GAGGGAUCGCUACAUUCCCAAAUGCAGCACCAUGCAGAUGGAGAUGGCAAAUUUCCUCCUAACCAAAGACAAUGACCCUUCUGAGGAUUCCCCUACCAAGAAGGCUGUCAGAAUAACCUGAAAGUGCUCUACAGUCAGAAAAUGGCACCUGGAUCCAGCAGGAAGAAUAGCAGAAAUACUCCCUCAAAGCCAGAAGGGGUCUUGGAUGCACCAGAGAUGUUCAACGACUACUUGCCAGCAGUCUUGUCUGUCCCCCACGAGGAGCAGCCGAGAGCGGAGGUGCCUCCAGGAAAGGAAU